rnacentral:rRNA from 1 species
UUGAAAGAUGGUUUCGGCUAUCGCUUACAGAUGGGCCCGCGGUGCAUUAGCUAGUUGGUAGGGUAAUGGCCUACCAAGGCAACGAUGCAUAGCCGACCUGAGAGGGUGAUCGGCCACACUGGGACUGAGACACGGCCCAGACUCCUACGGGAGGCAGCAGUAGGGAAUCUUCCGCAAUGGACGAAAGUCUGACGGAGCAACGCCGCGUGUAUGAAGAAGGUUUUCGGAUCGUAAAGUACUGUUGUUAGAGAAGAACAAGGAUAAGAGUAACUGCUUGUCCCUUGACGGUAUCUAACCAGAAAGCCACGGCUAACUACGUGCCAGCAGCCGCGGUAAUACGUAGGUGGCAAGCGUUGUCCGGAUUUAUUGGGCGUAAAGCGCGCGCAGGCGGUCUUUUAAGUCUGAUGUGAAAGCCCCCGGCUUAACCGGGGAGGGUCAUUGGAAACUGGAAGACUGGAGUGCAGAAGAGGAGAGUGGAAUUCCACGUGUAGCGGUGAAAUGCGUAGAUAUGUGGAGGAACACCAGUGGCGAAGGCGACUCUCUGGUCUGUAACUGACGCUGAGGCGCGAAAGCGUGGGGAGCAAACAGGAUU